CUUAAGACUCUCGGCAACGGAUAUCUCGGCUCUUACAUCGAUGAAGAACGUAGCGAAAUGCGAUACUUGGUGUGAAUUGCAGAAUCCCGUGAACCAUCGAGUCUUUGAACGCAAGUUGCGCCCGAGGCCUUUGGGUCGAGGGCACGCCUGCCUGGGCGUCACGC
rnacentral:rRNA from 1 species